GUCGGCUCCUCGAGGGGGUCGCAGCCCCCGGAAACCCGGAAGCCCGGAGCCGGCAACGCGGACCGGGACAAACGCGCGCGCGGCGAUGAAUUUCGUCAGAUAUGCACGCGCGCGUCUCGUCGGCGCGCUCGUUUUUCCGUAGCCGACGUGAUGAUUACGAGACUCGGUGAGCCAGACGAACUUUUUCAUCAGACGCGACCGGAAUACCUUGCAAUCCUGCGAUGAAGUCUCCUGGUUCCCCGACUGACGAGGAAUAUACCAUCAGUGAAACGCGGCAUGAAAACUGACUGCUGAUAUUUACGAUCAGAUGGAAUGCUUACUUCAAUAAAUUACAGAGAUGAUGGAGAAAGCUCGAAUUAUCAAAUUAUCAUGGGAAAACAAGCAGAAGGAGCCUUCAGUUAAUAAAGUCCACCUCGAUCCUCGGAGCGUCUCCUGCUGUCUCGUAAACGAAUCCCUAAUUACGGCGAGGGGAUGUUCCCCGCAGGGGCUUUUGCACCUGUCCCGAAGUGCUGCCACGACAGGAGCGUGCCACACCGGAAAAAGAACGGAAGAAAACGUGCGCGCGCGUGCCGAGAAGAGAGAACAAGGAAAAAAAAGCAGGAGGCACGUUAACUCCCAUGUGGUUUCCGACAGACCGUGUCGUAUGAACGCCUGUAAGAAGGGCGCGCCAUGUUGUCUGGCCAUCCCGCAUUGCGCCAGUAAAUUCGGUAAAAUCCCGGACAUAAGUCUACCCGCAGUAUCUUGUCUAUGACCAGUCCUCUUUAUUUUUCCUUGUCCUCCUGUUCGUCUCGCUUCUGCUCUCUACUUAGAAUUAUCGCCUCUCGGUUCCUCCUAAUCUUGUGGGAUUUUCCUUUCAGUUAACACCGAUGGCGACCAUGCUGUUUCGCUCCUCGGGGUUUCGAUCUCAGAUAAGGAAUCCGGAGCAGUCGGUUUCUCGGCGGUUUCGUGAUCAGCUUGCUGACUCGCAGCAGAAAGUUCCGAUGUUUGUUUCCGCUGUGCGUACUUCUCGGCGAAGCGAAAUAGCCGCGCGAAGCUAACUUGUAAGUGGCAUCGUCGGAGAUACCGCACCAUACGUUAUUCUGGGCUAUACACAUUUCCAGAAUAAUAAACUGCGUAUCAAGAUCUCCGACUCUUAUUCGUAAAUGCCAAGGAACCGAGAGGUACAGAACGGAAACUUACAAAUGCGCGCACGAACAUGGAAAUCGGACUAGCUGGGCAAGAUAUUUCACCGUCAAAAAUUAUUGAAAGCCAUGAGAGAUGAAGUAUGAUGUCUAACAGGAUAGAUAUAGACGCUAAAGGAGCUUCUAAAUGCAGACACUGCAGUACGUGCGUGAAGCUACUUUCGUAUCAUGUCUGUCUCGGGGAUCGACUGGAAACGAAGCGAGAAACUCGAGGCAAUAAGCCAGCAGUCGUCUUUACAGCCUCACCAACACACGCACGCGGCGCGUGAGAUGUGUUACAUCUCGAAUUUGGGUCACACCGUUUGAAUAAGCGGUAGGGGUUGACCUGCAUUUCCUCAAACACUUUGGAGGAGGAGCUGCAUUGAAUGUGAAUAAAGAAAAACGGGGGAUCCUUUUUCGAUAGAAUACAAAAUGCUCUUCUGACGAUGGGUACGGUGAUGCUCUCUUUGCAGGACGUGCGAAGCCUUUUAAACUGCAGCGAACCGCGCUAGUGAAUUGUAAGCAUUAUCAUGAAAAGAAUUUUAUGAAAGUUUAUGCAUUCUGCAUCAUUAUUACUCCGAAUUUUAAUAGAUUUCUUUUCUCGAAAUUUCUUACGUGCAUGGAGAUGAUAAGAGAAUGCUAAUAUUUUAUAUAAAGACAGAUACGUCAGAGAAAAUGAAAUGAAAUUAUUCCACGUUCUUUUAACCGCCAUAAAGGAAUCCUAAUAUUUCGUUCAUGAUGGUAAUCAUAUUUCAACCGGGACCGUCACAUUAACCGCGAGGCAGCACGGCAACUCAGGGCAUUGCUUCAGUUUCGCUGACGGAUCGCUAAGGAUGAGGCCACUAGAAUUUAUGCUAACUCGACAGUAAUCAGAGCUGGAACAUCCGAGAGCUGGAACAACGUGGCCUGCCGAAACAGGCAUCGUACGAUUGGCUUUGAUUACAUCACAUAAUCUGAGAAAGGGCAGAGAAACAAAACUUUCUCGUGCAACAAAGUGGAGUCGCUCGAGGAAUGCUCCACUUCGAAACGAGCAGAAUCGACAAUUCCGUCUACGUAGCGACUUUACUUCCUUGAACACAUGGCAGUAUCCAAAUUUACCGGGCCAACUAUUUUAAACCACUCAUUUCUUCGAAUUAAAUCGUACGAGUGAAUCAAAGCCAAGGCGAAUCAAGGCCGCUAAAUGUGGAAUCAGGCACGCGGGUACACGUCGAAACCAUGCCUCCACUGAGUCUAUCGAACUUUAAAUAUUAUACUUGAUUUAUCAGAUAUGUUAAUUAUAAUAUAUUCAUUAAGUUCAUUAGCGCAAUCGACAUCCUAAUGUAUAUAAAAAUUUCGAAAACGGCAAUCACCUUACUAAAUAUCGAGUCAAUCAUACAAGAAUAAAUUAUUCUUUUACACAUAA